CGCAGGGCGCAUGCGCCGCCAACCCCGCGCUGCGUCUCCUGAGGCAGAGGCGCGGAGCGGGCGCUGCCGGGGCUGCGGGCAUGGGGACGGUGUCGGCGUCCGGCCCGGCCGGCCUCGGGCUGCUGCUGGUGGCCGUGGUGCUCGGCGAGGCGCGGGCGGAGGAGGGGUGUAUGCCUCCAGAAAGACUGCAGUACGCAGAGCUCACGGAGAGUUUCAGCACAAUGCAGAGCUUUCCCGUUGGAACCACAGUGACGUACGUCUGUCGCCCCGGGUAUAUGAGAAUCCCUGGGAAGUCGUUAACUCGAACGUGUGGUGAAGACUUAAGGUGGUCGCAAACAGAGAAGUUCUGUGCAGCGAAAAAAUGUACUCAUCCAGGAGAAUUAGAAAAUGGUAUUGUUCAUGUGACAGACCUUACGUUUGGUUCAAAAGCUACUUUUUCUUGUCACACAGGGUUCAGAAUACGUGGAAGUAGUGAAAUUACCUGUGUAGUUAAGAAUAAAGCUGUUGACUGGGAUGGAGUUGUUCCUUUCUGUGAACGAGUUCCUUGUGAACCACCACCAAGUAUAGCCAACGGGUACUACACGGAAGCAGCUGAGUAUGUUUAUCAGACAACAGUAACCUAUAAGUGCAAUGACGCACCGAAAGGCGAAGAUCCCUACUCGCUGGUUGGUACACCUUCUAUCUUCUGCACGCUUGAUGGAGACUUAAACGGAGUUUGGAGUGGACCACCUCCACAAUGUAAAGUGGUCAAAUGUGAAAAUCCAAAAGUUCAAAAUGGAAAAAAAGUAACUGGAUUUGGACCUCUCUAUAGCUACGGGCACUCGGUUACGUUUGAAUGUGAUCCAGGCUAUUUCAUGGUCGGACAGGAUGUAAUCACCUGCCAAGAAACUAACACCUGGUAUCCGCCAAAACCAACUUGUGAAAAAAUUACUGAGGAUAAAUGUGGUGCCCCGAAGAUCUCGCAUGGAGAAGUGAUUCCGCUGCAAUCUGAAUACAGAAGUGGAGAGUCUGUUCGGUUAAGGUGCAAUCCUCACUGUGCUUUUCCUGAUGAUGCUGUAGAGAUCACAGUAACGUGUCAAGGACAAAAUACAUGGAGCUCUGAACAAAACUGUGCAUGUAAGCCUGUACAUUCUGAUUCCUCUCCAGUCAUUAGUCAUGGUAGAGUAAUUUAUGGACAAAAACCUGAGUAUGCUGUAGGGGAUUCUAUUACAAUUGAAUGUUACGCAGGCUACACGUUACAUGGUACAGAUCGUAUUGUGUAUAUGGGAGAAGGCAAAUGGAGUCCUGGAGUCCCAGCUUGCCACUUAAGUGCCUAUGUUAUCGCCAUCAUCUGUGUGAUUACAGUAGUUCUCGUGUUCCUGGCAGCCUUCUGGGUCUAUAAGAAAUUCUUUUCACAAGGAGGCUCAACUCCACAGAGCAGAGACAGGAACGAGCAGCAAAAACGGACUGCGUCACAGAUGUAACAUGACCAUCGGCAAAACAAGUGCAGAAAGAGAUCAUGGCUGUCUCAUCGUUCCGACAGCUUUCUUUCAGUAUCACAGAAGAAUAAGCUGGGACCACCGCUGUUGCUGCUAUUCCCGUUGUUCCCCUGCUCUGCGGAACUGGCGCUGCAGGAGGCGAGGAUGCUCCAAGGGAGCCAGCUACAGCCAGCGAGGGCUCUGAGUCAGUAGGGGUUGUGACGACUGCAGCAAGAGCCUGAAACUCCCCACGGAAUCUGGCAGGAAAGGAGGGGAGGCAAGGAAGGUAGAGAUGGGAAAGAGGAAAAAUCCGGGGAGUGGCACCUACUGUCUGUUUUUGUCUUCCCUCCCUGUUCCUGCCACCGCACUGCCGUUGGAAAUGGUAUCCUCCCCUCUGGGUUACUGCGCAAAGAAACGGGGAUAAAACUGCAAUGCGUACGGCCUUUAUAACAGCCAAAAUUCAGUCGGGGUGGGUGUACCUGUGUCAACACGGCCUCUCUCCCCUCUCCGCCUGCCGUUCAGAGGACAGGCUCCUGCCGAAGUAACCGAGACACACGCAGUUCGUUUGAGCUGGUUCUAAACCCAGUGGUUGUUGCUAAACAACCAGACCUGACGCUUGCGAUGUCAGUGAACCUUGCGGAGCCCUGGCUUGGGGCUGCCGGCAGCGCUCCCUCGCCUCGCCCACACCAACAAGCUCACACCCGGGCGGCACGACGGCGUUCGGGCCGGAGCCUUUUCCGCUUCAUUAAUCCUGCCACGCGAUUGCCAGAUUCGGUCCCUGCCCCGAGCGACUCACAGCGCGACCAACACUCAGCUACCACCGACAGAAGAGAGAAAGCAGGAGAGAAAGGAGA